CAAAAUUUCAUGUGAUUUGGAUAUUUCUACACCGUUAAACUUGCAACCGGCUCACCACGGCCGUUAAAAUUAUUGAUUUUGAGCCCCUUCGAUCACUAGGCAAAUGAUAUUGAAAAAUCGCAAAAUUUAUUUUCUAGGUACUUCAAAUACUCUAGAUCAACUCUAACAGAGCCGAUCGUCGAUUCGAAAGUCCGAACAUCGAAAACGACUUGGAAGCACGGAGGCCUCCGUGCUUCCAUGAGCAUACCAACACAACUCUCUCUCUCUCUCUCUAUAUAUAUCUAUAUAUAUAGAAUUAGGCUGGAAUACUAUUAAUAGUAAAAUGCUCUUUUUGAUAUCAAGUUUUUAGCCCUUGGAUGAAAAAUUGUAGGGUCAGGAUGAUAUUAGUCGGUUAGUGUUGAGUGGUCCCCCUAGGGUUGAGUGGUCCCCACUGGGUUAUAGUAUUUAAUUCAAUGACUAGAAAUAAUAAAAAGAGUUGAUCCAAAGGCUAAAAAAUUGAUAGCAACAAUGAGAUUUUGCUACUAAUAGUAGCCCAGUCCAACUCUAUAUAUAUAUAUAUAUAUAUAUAUAUAUAGAAUUAGGCUGGAAUACUAUUAAUAGUAAAACGCUCUUUUUGCUAUCAAGUUUUUAACUCUUGGAUGAAAAAUUGUAGGGUCAGGAUGAUAUUAGUCAGUUAUAGUUGAGUGGUCUCCCCAGGGUUGAGUGAUCCCCACUGGGUUAUAGUAUUUAAUCCAAUGGUUAGAAAUAAUGAAAAGUGUUGAUCGAAAGGCUAAAAAACUGGUAGCAACAAUGAGAUUUUGCUACUAAGGGGCCGUUUGGUUGGAUGUAGUUGCAGAAACAGUGUAGUUGGAAAUACAUGCAGUUGCAAAUGCUACAGUUAUAACUACACCUAGUCUGUUUGGUUUUACGCAGUUGCAACUGCUGCAGUUACAUUUCUUCUGUUUGGUAAUAUGAAGCUGAUAGUUGUAUUUAUAAAUUUUGUCACCUCUUCAGAUAGAGUGGUGAGGUUACCUUCACUAAACAUAAAAUAAUUGUAUAAAUUUAUUAAUUAUUUAAAUUUACUAUUUAUAAAUAAAUAAGUAGAUAUAUAUAAUAUUUUUAUAUUUUU
rnacentral:lncRNA from 1 species